rnacentral:rRNA from 1 species
CAGUCGCCGCGGGAAUACGUAGGUGGCAAGCGUUGUCCGGAAUUAUUGGGCGUAAAGGGCUCGCAGGCGGUUUCUUAAGUCUGAUGUGAAAGCCCCCGGCUCAACCGGGGAGGGUCAUUGGAAACUGGGAAACUUGAAUGCAGAAGAGGAGAGUGGAAUUCCACGUGUAGCGGUGAAAUGCGUAGAGAUGUGGAGGAACACCAGUGGCGAAGGCGACUCUCUGGUCUGUAACUGACGCUGAGGAGCGAAAGCGUGGGGAGCGAACAGGAUUAGAUACCCCAGUAGUCCCUGUCUCUUAUAC